GCCGGGUGUGGUGGCACAUGCCUGUAAUCCCAGCUACUUGGGAGGCUGAGGCAGGAGAAUCAUUUGAACCCAGGAGGCUGAGGUUGUAGUGAGCUGAGAUCAAGCCACUGCACUCCAGCCUGGGUGACAGAGUGAGACUCUGACUCAA
rnacentral:SRP_RNA from 1 species